UCAGUACAAAUAAUAUGCUGGCUCACUAAGACCACACUAAAGGACAAAAAGACCCUCUGAAGCUUUAUAGGGAUAAAAUCUAGUAUCUCCAUGCCCCCCAUCACCCAAGACACAAGAAGCGAGAAAGACAGGCAUUACUACUAUGCAACGACCGAAGUUAGUCUAAAGACUGUUUAAUUGGGGCGAUAA
rnacentral:rRNA from 1 species